CAGUCGCCGCGGGAAUACGUAGGGUGCGAGCGUUAAUCGGAUUCACUGGGCGUAAAGCGUGCGCAGGCGGCCCGUUAAGACAGGUGUGAAAUCCCUGGGCUCAACCUAGGAAUUGCGCUUGUGACUGGCGGGCUCGAGUACGGUAGAGGAGGGUGGAAUUCCUGGUGUAGCAGUGAAAUGCGUAGAGAUCAGGAGGAACACCGAUGGCGAAGGCAGCCCCCUGGGCCUGUACUGACGCUCAUGCACGAAAGCGUGGGGAGCAAACAGGAUUAGAUACCCCUGUAGUCCCUGUCUCUUAUAC
rnacentral:rRNA from 1 species